rnacentral:tRNA from 1 species
GGAAUGUGGCUUAGUGGUAGAGUGCUUGCCUAACAUGCAUGAGGCCCUGGGUUCGAUCCCUUGGUACCA